rnacentral:misc_RNA from 1 species
GCCCGGAACUGAACCAUUUCGAGAAAAGUGGGGACGGACGACUUGAGGCCUUCACGGGCUUCUUGUUGACGGAAACCGCCUUAAUCGCAGUGGUUUGAACCGGGCAAAAGUCGUAACAAGGUUUCCGUAGGUGAACCUGCGGAAGGAUCAUCACUGAGUUUGCGAGCUUGUCUUGCUUUCUUGGAACUGUUGGUGUAUCUGGGACGGCGAGAGCUGUUUCGGAUACGUGUUACAACCAACUUUGGCCGGCUCGUGUCUUUCAGACUCGCGUCGGGAACAGUUGACCGAGUCAUUCGUAUUCUUGCACAUGCCUAGCAAGGGCGAUUCGGUUGACUAAGUGUAUCGGUGCCUACGUUGUCUAAACAGCAACGGGAGGGCUGCUAGUGUACCCUGGUAUACCGGCGGCUCAGGCUUAAAGAGCGACCAGACCUGGUUGCCGCCGAGACAGACCCAACAUAUUAUAAACCUAUAUUCUCAAAUUGAUGAGUCGGUCCUUGCGGACUGGCAAGUCUAAACUAUUAUUCCGAGCGGUGGAUCACUCGGCACAUGGGUCGAUGAAGAGCGCAGCUAGCUGCGUUACUUAAUGCAAAUUGCAGAUACAUUGAGCAUCGACAUCUUGAACGCAUAUUGCGGCUUUGGGACUUCCAUCUCAAAGCCACGCCUGUUCGAGGGCUGAACAAGUAUAGAAGUUCGCUUGCCUCUGCCAGAGCAAGCGGUGCGCUUCAGUUUGUGUGUCUUCGGACGUACUUUCUUGUUGCAAUACUUGGUGGCUCGUGCUUGCACGUUUCACACGACUGAAAAGUCUGACAGUUCCGAUCUAAGACCGGUCGUGUCGGAUGGUGUUGCAUAAACUCCAAAUGACUAGGAGUGUAGCAGUGCUGUCUGACUGAUCGCGUUCUUGGUUGGUCUCU